UCUUACAGAUGAGCAAAGAAGGUAGUUUCUUGAGAUGGAAUCUACUCCUGGUGAAGAUACUAUGAA
rnacentral:pre_miRNA from 3 species